AUGGGUCAUCAAGACCCACUUAAAGCAUUCAACUGCUUUCGAAUUCAAAGCAGGAGCGACGGGCGCGACAUUUGGUGCCGAAACCCGGGAAUCAACAUCUGUGGCACAGCGGGGACCCCAGUUCGUCUGGAUCCAGCGUCCAGGAGCUGGUGGCCCUUGAUCCAUCUCUCUUGUCUUUUGGCACUGACCAGUGCCCAUGACAAGCCUUCCUUACACCCACUGUCGGAUGUCCUGAUUAACUAUAUUAACAGGCAGAAUACAACAUGGCAGGUUGAACACAACUUCUACAGUGUUGACAUAAGCUAUCUGAAGAAGCUAUGUGGUACUGUCCUGGGUAGACCCAAGGUUCCAGAAAGGAUUGGGUUCGGUGAGGACAGAAAUAUACCUGAAAUCUUUGAUGCACGGGAACAGUGGUCCAACUGCCCGAUCAUCAAACAGAUUAGAGGCAGUGGAAGCCAUUUCUGACCAAAUCUGCAUUCACACCAAGUCUGCUGAGGACCUGCUUACCCGCUGUGGUAUCCAGUGUGGGGAUGGCUGUAAUGGUGGGUAUCCCUCUGGAGCAUGGACUUUUGGACGAUAAAAGGCCUGGUUUCUGGCGGAGUCUAUAAUUCUUAUGAAGGUUGCUUGCCAUCCCUCCUUGUGAGCAUCAUGUAGAUGGCUCUCAUCCCCAGUGUACUGGAGAAGGAGAUACUCCCAGGUGCAACAAGAGCUGCAAGGAUGGCUACUACUCAUCCUACAAAGAAGAUAAGCACUAUGGGUACACUUCCCACAACGUGUUUGACAGCGAGAAGAUCAUGGCAGAAAUCUAGAAAAAUGGCCCAGUGGAGGGCGCCUUCACUGUGUUUGCUGAUUUCUUGACUUGCAAAUCAGGAGUAUACAAGCAUGAAGCUGGUGAUACGAUGGGUGGCCACGCCAUCCGCAUUCUGGGCUGAGGAGUAGAGAAUGGAGUUCCCUUCUGACUGGCAGCCAACUCUUGUAACAUUGACUGGGGUGAUAAUGGCUUCUUAAAAAUCCUCAGAGGAGAGAACCACUGGGGAAUUGAAUCAGAAAUUUCCUCUGGAAUCCCACACACUGACCAGUCCUGGAGAAGAUUCUAA